GACGAACGCUGGCGGCGUGCUUAACACAUGCAAGUCGAACGGAAACGCCCUGCUCUUGUGGGGUGCUCGAGUGGCGAACGAGUGAGUAACAUGUGAGUAACCUGCCCUUGACUUUGGGAUAACUUCAGGAAACUGGGGCUACUACCGGAUAGGAGCUCCUGCAGCCUGGUGGGCGUUGGAAAGUUUCGGCGGUUGGGGAUGGACGCGCGGCUUAUCAGCUUGUUGGUGGGGUAGUGGCUUACCAAGGCUUUGACGGGUAGCCGGCCUGAGCGGGUGACCGGCCACAUUGGGACUGAGAUACGGCCCAGACUCCUACGGGAGGCAGCGGUGGGGAAUAUUGCACAGUGGGCGGAAGCCAGAUGCGACAACGCCGCGUGCGGGAUGACGGCCUGCGGGUUGUAAACCGCUUUCGCCUGUGACGAAGCGUGAGUGACGGUAAUGGGUAAAGAAGCACGGGCUAACUACGUG
rnacentral:rRNA from 1 species